UCAGCGAGGCCUGCAGUGUAGCCACAUCCCACUGCUGGCCUGACUUGGCCUCGGGGAGCUGACAGAGGACAGCUGCCUCACUGGCCUCCAGGUCUUCCUUCAGACUGCCAUCCUGGCUGCAGAAGCCUUCAGGCACUGAGCUGCCCAAGGGCUCAUCCUCUGCUGCACAGCAGCUGGGUGGCUGCAAAGAGUAGUUCUCUUCUGGGUGGGUGCUGCUGCUGCUGCUGUCCUGGC
rnacentral:lncRNA from 1 species